GGGACGGCCCGCCAGAGGACCCCUAAACUCUGUUUCUAUAUGUAACUUCUGAGUAAAACCAUAAAUAAAUCAAAACUUUCAACAACGGAUCUCUUGGUUCUGGCAUCGAUGAAGAACGCAGCAAAAUGCGAUAAGUAAUGUGAAUUGCAGAAUUCAGUGAAUCAUCGAAUCUUUGAACGCACAUUGCGCCCGCCAGUAUUCUGGCGGGCAUGCCUGUUCGAGCGUCAUUUCAACCCUCAAGCACAGCUUGGUGUUGGGACUCGCGUUAAUUCGCGUUCCUCAAAUUGAUUGGCGGUCACGUCGAGCUUCCAUAGCGUAGUAGUAAAACCCUCGUUACUGGUAAUCGUCGCGGCCACGCCGUUAAACCCCAACUUCUGAAUGUUGACCUCGGAUCAGGUAGGAAUACCCGCUGAACUUAAGCAUAUCAAUAAGCGGAGGAA
rnacentral:rRNA from 1 species